UACGAAGGGUGCAAACGUUGCUCGGAAUUAUUGGGCGUAAAGCGCACGUAGGCGGCUUUGCAAAGUCGGAUGUGAAAUCCCUCGGCUUAACCAAGGAAGUGCAUCCGAAACUGCAAGGCUUGAGUACUUAAGAGGAUCGCGGAAUUCCCGGUAUAGAGGUGAAAUUCGUAGAUAUCGGGAGGAACACCAGUGGCGAAGGCGGCGAUCUUGGGAAGAUACUGACGCUGAGGUGCGAAAGCGUGGGGGAGCAAACAGG
rnacentral:rRNA from 1 species